GGAAGGCGUGCAAGCGCUUAAGCUAACCAGUACUAAUUGCUCGUGCGGCUUGACCCU
rnacentral:rRNA from 1 species